GGCUCAGGAUGAACGCUGGCGGCGUGCCUAAUACAUGCAAGUCGAGCGAGAAUCUGAUGAACGGAGAUUCGUCGAAGUGAUUCAGAGGAAAGCGGCGGACGGGUGAGUAACGCGUAGGCAACCUGCCCUUAGCAGAGGGAUAGCCAUUGGAAACGAUGAUUAAAACCUCAUAAUGCUGUUUUAACACAUGUUGAGACAGCCAAAGAUUUAUCGGCUAAGGAUGGGCCUGCGUCUGAUUAACUAGUUGGUGAGGGUAACGGCCCACCAAGGUGACGAUCAGUAGCCGACCUGAGAGGGUGAUCGGCCACAUUGGAACUGAGACACGGUCCAAACUUCUACGGAAGGCAGCAGUAAGGAAUCUUGCACAAGUGGGGAAACCCUGAUGCAGCAACGCCGCGUGAACGAUGAAGGCCGUUAGGGUUAGUAAAGUUCUGAUCGUGGGGAAGAAGGAAGUGACGGUACCCAGGAGAAAGCCCGGCUAAUACGUGCC
rnacentral:rRNA from 1 species